rnacentral:piRNA from 2 species
UGGUAUUGCAGUACCUCCAGGAACG